UCCCGGUCUAAUGAACAAUGAAAGUAAAUGAAGUGAAGUAUGUUUCUGUUCCUGUUCCUUCAGGUAUGGUCGUCUGUGUGAGGUGGUGACCACGUCUUCCCCCUGUUGAUCAGAGGUCACGUCUCGGACUUCUCCUGCCCUGACACCUUAGCCAGUUCACCUACUGGGAGAAAAGCUGCCCAUAUGCACAGCCCUGAUCAGCGCCCCAGGUCCACAGCCCUGAUCAGCCCCAGAUCCACAGCCCCGAUCAGCCCCAGAUCCACAGCCCUGAUCAGCCCCAGGUCCACAGCCCUGAUCCGCCCCAGGUCCACAGCCCUGAUCAGCCCCAGGUUCCACAGCCCUGAUCAGCCACAGAUCCACAGCCCUGAUCAGCCCCAGGUCCACAGCCCUGAUCAACCCCAGGUCCACACCCCUGACCAGCCCUUGGUCCACACCCCUGACCAGCCCUUGGCCCACACCCCUGACCAGCCCUUGGUCCACACCCCUGACCAUCCUCUGGAAAUCAGCUGUGGAGACCCACUUCCACACCAGACCACCCCAUAAGUGACCUGUGUGCAAUCUGGGAAGGAAAGGGAGAGACACAUUUAUGAUGAUGAUGACGGCGUGCAAAUGAAAGAAGCUCUAAUGUCACACACACACACACACACACAUACACACACAUACACACGCACAGCAAUGCAUAAGCAGACCUUAACACACACAUGGUUGCCAUGUGCACACUUAUGCACUAGUGGAAGUUCUCUCCGACAACAACAGGCAUGUUAGCACUGAGUGGUAUUUCUAUGUACUCACCUUUCCUAUUUGUGUUCUACUCCUCGGUGUUCUGCUCUACAAUACCUAGCCUACUGUUCAUCAGGUGCAAAAGGUGCUACUUGUAUACAUACUGUAGCUGCAACUCCGACAAGAAGCACCGAUUCAGUCAACCUGGGGGAAAUCACUGUGAAGAACAGCCUAUCAACGACAGCUAUUUCACCCAAUUAGCAUUGCCUGAUUGAUUCUAGCACUUUUAGUCUACAAUGUGGGUAGAGUAAACCGCGAUGCAUGUUCGGUUGACACGUUCAGAUCUAACGUUCACAUGAAGCGCGAAUGUAAUACAUGUCGAACAAAGCAGGAUUAUGCUCAACUAGCGCUAUAGCGCAUGGCGAUAAUUCAGUUCACCCGUUCGACCUCCAAACAUUUGUCAAUAUAAUCAAAACAAAUGUUAUUUGUCACAUGGGCCGAAUACAGGUGUAGACCUUACCGUGAAAUGCUUACUUCCAAGCCCGUAACCAACAGUGCAGUACAAGAAAUAGAGUUAAGUAAAACAUUUAAUAAAAGCGUUUUAAAGCGCGUUUCCGUUCUAGUAAGUAGCAUUCUAUAUUCGGUUUUUAUUCUUCUGUUUUUUUGUUGUUGUCAUGUUCUGUGUAUGAUAGAUAUGUUAGUGAUCAACUGAACUGAAACAGGUAACCGGUGCAGCUCCUCACUAUUGUUAACAAGGCACAGAGGAGGGCUGUCUCUCUGGUUGAUGCCUCUCACCCAUAGUCGUCAACAGUCCUUAUAUGGUCAUGUAACCAAACACCUGAGAAAAGACUCGCGUGAAACUGACGUUACUCUUGACAGUAAGCCGUGCAAGAAAACUCAGGUUGUCAGUUUUAACAGUCGUCUUUGUCUUCGUUUCUCCGCCACUCGUCACGGGUUUCCACGGACCGUGACACACACGUCAUCAAAUCAAAUCAAAUGGCAUUUGCCACCUGUUCUGAGGUCUACACCUGUUAUAUUGGGUGCAUGUGACAAAAACAAUUUGAUUUGAUGACCUGUCCGAUUCUCUCUGUGUGCAGUGUCGUGGUUUUGGCUAACAUUAACAGGUAAUAUUGUGCAGACAGUAGAAAACAUAUUAUGUCCUCUGCUUUGGUGGUCCAUCAUCUUAAACUCUGUGUGUAACUGCGAGAUGAGAGAAACCUACUAAUGUAUGAACUAUUUAAUUCAUUUCACAUUUUUAAGCGAGCAGCUUGUGAACGCACUUGGAUUUGGGCUUUGGUUUUUAUUUCACUUUAAAUAUUGUGUUUAUGUGAUUGAAUCUGAAUAGCGUUUUGAUGUUCAUUCUCACUUUUGUACAUAGUGCAACCUUUUUUAGCGAUCGAAUUCAGAAACAUUGUCAGUAAAAGUGGCUGGCUGCUGGACUACAGUAGUUUGACCUUAAGGCUAACAACAUUUUUGCACUGACAGACUUAUAGUGUCCACUGAAGCGAAACCAUUGAGAUAUUCUACAGUCAACCAAUCAACAUUCUCCUGAAUUCUAGAAUCUACUACUUAGAUACAAAGAACUUGGACACACAGGUUAAAUUGAACUGUCGCUCCUUGUAAUUUCAGCAAUUAGAAUGCACAACAACCUUGACGGUUCUGAACCUCCCCAAAGGGUUUUAAAGCACAAAGCACUAACGACAUAGUCCGUCUGUCCAUCAGAUCUCUGUUGUGAACAGAGGAGGUGGCAGGAUGUUUCUAUGGGUGGCUACCGUGGAAUGUGUAUCAGCAUAUGUAUAUUGUGCAAUUGCCAAUGUUAUCCUGUGUGUAAUACGGAUGGAUAUUCAAGACGUCCUGCAUUACCGGAAUGAAUACUAACACUGUGAUACAGUAUUUCUCUCUUUUUUUUUUUUAUUGAUCAUAUUGAUGACCACUAUAAAACCUGAUUGCAUCACUAUGGAGGAGAGAAGGUUCCCACCGUCCCUGUGUCAUAUGCCGUAUUGAUUACUUUCAACACCUUUUACAUUCACUUUGGUUGAAUUGACUACCAGUGGGAUGGUUGAAACAUCCAUUGCCAUGGUUCAGGAGUAUUGUGACAUGGCGACUAAUGUGAGAUGUUGGAUUUACCACCAACCGAAGAGGUGUGUUGGUAUUAGGAGGAUAACGGAUGGAUGGAUGGAUGAAUGAAUGGAUGAGUCAAUGGAGGCAUGUGAUAUCACUGUUGUUGUGUUUACUCCUCCUCUGUGUCAUUGUCUUCUGUUCUCCCUUUACUGUACUGUCACAAGAUUUGUUCCAAGUAUGUUAAAGUACUACUGUAUAUUCAGAUUAAAUGACUGUAUUCUUUCUGUGAAAGAUCUAUAUAAACAACGAGCUUGUUGCCUUACAGUAUGCCGUGGCUGUCUCUACCCUCAUUAGUUUGUUUCUGAGAUGUACAGAGUCAAUUACUCUAGCACUGUGUCAUGUUGUAUAGGUUAACAAUCCAGUCUGAAAAUAGCUAUAAUGGAAAUAAGUUUUUCAAUAAAUGCAAAGUUGAUUGUUGAUGGAUUGGAUGUGUAUGUCUCUCCUUUCUCCUCCCUGUAGUGAACAUGAUAUGAAACCAGAUGCAGAGAGAGCAUGUGUAGUAUUUCUUGAGUUUUAGAGUUUUUCCCUGACCACAUGACUGAAAAGUAACAGGACCAUGAUUCAUUCCACUCUACAGAGCAAAACGAACACCCGUACUACCCAUGUCUACCAUGGUGUUGCUCCAUGGCUUUGUGAAGGCUGGAUAACCUACUGUCAUCUAGUGGAAGAUGUACUUAUAACACCUUUUCAUAUAAAGCCCAUGUACAGUAAUCAGCUCACUGACAGAUCUGUCUGAUACUCACGGGGAUCACAUGUGAAAUGAUUUUUACAAUAACACAACUGAUUAUAUUAUUUAAACCCGUCUGAAGUUUAGUCAGAUGAAUCAAGCAUUCUACACCCGCAAUAACAUCUGCUAAAUAUGUGUACGCUACCAAUAAAAUGUUAUUUGGGAUGGACCGGAGGGGCUCCAGAGAACAGAACUGCACAUCACUUAUUAGUUGCCUCAUCUACAACAUCUGCGUGUGAGAGACGGUAGGGUAAAGUAUUAUUUUAUUUCCAUUUGUUCAAUAGUUGUCAGGGAAUCAGUAGGAGAUUAUUUACAGACAAUUAUGUUUAUCAUUAAAAAAUUGAAUUACGUAAAAA
rnacentral:lncRNA from 1 species